rnacentral:lncRNA from 1 species
UCUGGCAUGUGAUGCAUUUGGUGUGCUCCCACCUGUGAGCAAACUGAACCUGGCACAGACCAUGUACCAUUUUAUCAGUGGCUACACUGCUCUGGUAUGUACCUCAUCCUUCGAUUACUUAUUUCCUUAGAAUGCCACUUUAGUAUUAGUUGGAUAGCCACUUAUUGGUUCGGCUAACCGCUGCCACUAUUCACUGAGUGAAUCUCUUGACAAUGAUUGAAAUAGGUGGCGGGCACAGAGGAGGGUGUGAAGGAGCCACAAGCAACAUUCUCAGCUUGCUUUGGUGCUGCCUUUAUAAUGUUGCAUCCUACUAAGUAUGCGGCCAUGUUGGCCGAGAAGAUGCAGAAACAUGGGGCAACGGCAUGGCUGGUCAACACUGGUUGGU